AAACAUUAAUUAAAAGUGAGCAAGAGUGGCUAUAUUUAUAUUAGAUAAAGUAUUCAUCAGAGCAAAUAAAAUUACCCAUAAAAUUACCAAGGACAGAGAAAUCACAUAGUGAUAGAAAAGCCAAUCCACCAAAGGAGAGGACCAGUCUGUCAAGAAGACUUAUCAGUCCCAAGUGAGUAUGCUUCAAACAGCAGAGCUGUAGGAGUUCCCGUCGUGGCUCAGUGGUUAACGAAUCCGACUAGGAACCAUGAGGUUGCGGGUUUGGUCCCUGGCCUUGCUCAGUGGGUUAAGGAUCUGGCCUUGCCGUGAGCUGUGAUGUAGGUCACAGACGCGGCUCGGAUCCCAUGUUGCUGUGGCUCCGCCGGCCUACACCAGAGCCACAGCGUCUGCAACCUACACCAUAGCUCAGGGCAACACUGGAUCCUUAAUUCACUGAACAAGGUCAGGAAUUGAACCCUCAACCUCUAGUCCUGGGAAUUGUAAGUGAAAAUUCUCACACAUGCUCUCACAUACACACUCAUUCUCACACAUGUUCUUUGACUCAUUUUCACACACGCAUAUUCACACACAGGUUUGGUUCUCCUGGCAAUCAGCCCCCAUCCUAGGGUGGGGUCCUAAAGUCACCUCAUUAACACAGUCUUUGUUAACUCUCAUUAUUUAGGAAUUCCAAGGGUUUUAGGAGCUGUGCUAGAAAAGGGGUUGAAGACCAAAUAUAUAUAUAUUUUCAUUAUAAAUUGUAAUGUCAUACACAGUAAUAGAUAAUUUAAAUAGAACAUUUUCUUUUGUAUGAAGACCAAGAACCCAAUAGAAAAAUGGCAAAGGGAAAAAUAGUUCGUAGAGAAAGAAAUACAAAUAAUCCUUAAACAUUAAGAGAUGGUCAACCUCACUCAUAAGAGAAAUACAAAUUAAUCUUCACUUAGGAGUUUCCGUUGUGGCUCAGUGGUAAUGAACCUGACACAGUGUCCCUUAGGACACAGGUUCCAUCCCUGACCUUGCACAGUGGGUUAAGGAUCCAGCGUUGCCAUAACUACCUGACCUACCUAACUGUAGGUCACAGAUGUAGUUUGGAUCCUGAGUUGCUGUGGCUGUGGUAUAGGCUGACAGCUGCAGCUCUGAUUUGACCCCUUGCCUGGGAGCUUCCAUAUUCCACAGGUGUGGCCCUAAAAAGAAAAACAAACAAAUUCCACUUAGACACCUUUUCUCAUAUAUCAGAUGGGCAAAAAUCCAAAAUUUAAAAGGUCAUAGUUGGUGUGGCUAUAAAGAAAUAGAUUUGGUGGUGGAGAAUGCAAAAUUGUACAACCCUGAUGGAGAGCAGUUGGCAUUGCUUAUAAAAAAUUCAAGAGCAUUUAUUCUCUGACCCAGCCAUCCCACCUCUGGGAAUCUAUUCUACAAGAGAGAAAUGCUUAGGUAUGGCAUGACCUGUGAACUAUGGCAUUGUUUGUUUUUUAUUUUAUUUUAUUUUUUUAGGUUUUAAUAUUUUUCUGUGAUAAUUGAUUUUCUUUGUUCUGUCAGUUUCACUAUGGCAUUGUUUGUGAUGGCAAAAGACUGGAAAGGAACUGUCAAGAGGUCUGUCAAGAAGGAACUGCAUAAAUAAAUAUGAACCACUCUGUAGGAAAGAAUGAGGAUGUGCUGUAGGUUAUAGUAAAUAAAGCAAGGAAGGUGCAGAAUAAUGUGUAAAUUAUGUUAUCUUACUGUAAGGAAAAGAUGGAAAGCAUUACGUUUGCAUAAAGAAAUGCAGAAAAAAUCAAUAGAAAAAAAAUGAAAUUGUUACCUGUAAGGAGAAAGUGCGAAUUAGAAUUCUCUGUGUAUAUUUUUUAUACCUAUUUUAUACCACUUGAUGUCCUUUGGACUUUUUUUUUUUUUGGUCUUUUUAGGGCCACCCCCAUGGCAGAUGGAAUUACCUAGGCUAAGGGUCAAAUGGGAGCUGCAGUUGCCAGCCUUUGUCAUAGCCACAGCAACUUGGGAUCCGAGCUGCAUCUUCAACCUACACCACAGCCCACGGCAAUGCCAGAUCCUUAUCCCACUGAGCCAGGCUAGGGAUUGAACCCUUGUCCUCAUGGUUACUAGUCAGGUUCAUUAUCAUUGAGCCACAACGGGAACUCCUCCUUUUGAUUUUUGAGCCAAGUAAAAUACAACAUAUUAAAAAGCAAUUCAGGUGGGAAUGGGGGAUGACUAUUGAUGUUGGUAGGGUUUCUUUUAAGGAUCUGAAAAUGUUCUGAAGUUAGAUGGUGGUUGAUGGUUGUACAACUCUAUGAAUAUGCUAAAAACCACUGAACUCCACACAUUAAAUGGGUGAAUUUUAUGGCAUGUGAAAUAUGUUUAGAUAAAGUUGGAAAAAAAGGGACACACAUGCACACAAGAUUUCAGGAGUGAAGAGAAGAUAGACUCAAGAUUAAAAUGACGAUAGAAAAAGAACAUGGAUGACUUAUUGCCCGUAAUCCAGAACUUUCAAAAAACAUCUAGAGAACACAGUUAUACAACACCGGCUCAAGAAGAAAGAAAAAAACCUGAAUGAAUAGUCUAAUAAUAUUUAAAGAAACUCAACCAUCUGUAAACAAUCCUUCAUAAACGAAACACCAGACUGAGGUAAAUUUAAGAAAACUUUGAAGGAGAAGAUCACUUCAGUCAUAUAAAAAUCUUCUGAAAAAAAAUACCUGUCAAUUCAUUUUUUUAAUGCUAAAAUAACCUACAUACUAAAACUGGACAAAAUUAGGAGAAAAGAAAAUGAUAGGCCAAUCUACUCCUGAACAUGGGUACAAAAACAUUCUAGGUAAGAUAUCAGCAGACAGAAUCAGAGCAAUACAUAUAAAAAUACAAGCAUAUCAAGGUUGUACUAUUCUAGAAACUCAAUGCAGACUUAACAUGAGAAAGUUUACUAGUGGAUUCAACACAUUAAUAGUCUGAGGGAGAAAAUAACGAAUGACAUUCUCAAUAGGUGCAGACCAAGAAUUUGAUAAAAUUCAAAAGCUACUCACGAUGAAAAAAGCUUGGCAAGUGAGAAAGAGAAGAGGCUAUAUACUAACAAUCUGUAUGGCAAGCAUUACUCUUCAGGGUGAAAUGCUGGUGGUAGUUCUUAGCCAAUCAGGAAUAAGAUUGGAUACAAGUGUUUCCAUCCAGUAUUGUCCCGGAGGUCCCAGACAGCACAGACAAAGAAGAAAUAGAAAUUCAGCCUAUCAGGAUAAGAAAAAAGGAAACGAAAUAGUAAUUAUUGUUUGAUGAUAUGCUUGUAUAAAUAACCCCUCCCCUCCAUUUACAGACAGAAAUCUAGAAUUAACAAGGUAGUUUAGCAACCUGCUAGAUAUAUAAUCAAUAAACAAAAAUCAAUUGCCUUUGCGUGCUCCAAAAAAAACCAAUGAAAGUAAAUUUAACAAAGCAACAAAAAAGUAUGCGGUGCCUAACAAUAAAGCCACCAACUAUAUUGCAAGGGACUUGCAAAUGUCACAGUCAACAGGCUUGGGUCUAACCCAGGCAUGGCAACAGAGGUGGAGCCUGGGGCUGGAGCCUCAGACCAACCACACAGCCUCCUGCUGGGGGGAUUUUGCUGUAUUAGCCUCCAAGAUGGGGUCAGAAUAUCUUGAGUUAUAGAGAAUACUAAGUAGAGGUUGUAGGAAGCUGCUCAGCAGCAACUAUCCUAAAAGCCAGACCACUUCAGCCUGCCUUCCCCUAGUUGCAGCUGGUGGCAUUGACCCGGCAGGUCUGAUCACACUUGGACCAUUCACCCUCGCCAGACAUGACUGCCAAGUCCAAGAGUGAAAAUGAGCUUUGGCAGCCAGCCUAGUAUGUUCUGGCCUCAUGCUUUCACAUAUAUUUUUAAGAUGCAUUUAAGUUUGUGGAUAAGUAAUACAUUUAUAUUAUCAACCAAGCCAAAUCAAACCCAAAACCUUGGUGGCAGGUCGCAGAUGGGGCCCCAAGCUUGGAUUAGGAGGCAACUUGUUUGGACUAAGCAUCACUGGCUGUCUCAGAGCUCCUGUCCCAGCAUCCUUUUCCUUUGAAGUAAUUGCCUUGUUCCCUCACUCUUCCCUUUAUCAUUUGACCCUGUCUCCUGUAAAAACUACAUUCUCGUGGUAACCUCCUAGGGGAAGCAAGAAGAACAAAGAUAGCAUUUUCUGGAGUUCCUGCUGUGGCUCAGUGGGUUAAGAACCUGAUGUUGUCUCUGUGUGGAUGCCGGUUCAAUCUCUGGCCUCACUUAAUGGGUUAAGGGUCUGGUGUUGCAGCAAGCAGAUGGGGCUUGGAUCUGGCAUUGCUGUGGCUGUGGUGUAGGCUGGCAGCUGCAGAUUUGAUUUGAUGCCUUGCCUGAGAACUUCCAUAUGCCGCAGGUGCAGCUGUAUUAAAAAAAAAGAGAAAAGAAAAAAAAAAAG
rnacentral:lncRNA from 1 species